AAACAACCCCCUAUGUAUUGGAUCUUUGGCAAUUUUGGCCCCCAAGACCACUUUUGACUUUGUCUUCGCUGACGUGGCACCCCCUAACUAAUUACAUGUGGCACCUCACUUAUGGAAAAUGGGCGCCACGUCAGCGAAGACUAAGUCAAAAGUGGUCUUGGGGGCCAAAACUGCCAAAGUCCAAUACAUAAGGGACUGUUU
rfam:Medicago truncatula strain A17 chromosome 2, whole genome shotgun sequence.